GACUUUUGAGAGGUUCAGACUUGAAGUAUGGCUCGGGCUGUAACCUGUGAGUACACAUACGAAAAGUAAUUCAGAGGGUCUCUUCUUCUAAUGUUGUCUUCUCUUCCUGCAUCGAUUCGUCCCUCUCAGCGAUCCUCAGGCAGCCUCGCUGUCACCGCUCCCUCAACGUUUGAAGUCGAUGCUCCUUGUCCGGCAUCAGAUUUCUCUUCCAACAUCCUCAGGCUUACAAUUCCCGUUGCCAUGGCCAUUUUGUCCGCCAUACUCUCAAAAGAAAGAGCUCUUAUCUUCAUCUCACCAGAAGCUUGUUUCACUCUCGCCAUUCUUUCUCUAAUAAGAGCGACGUUCCUAAUCUUCACCACUUAGUCGCAUAGGCUGCUCUCUUUGCUGCCAAACACAACCCCAGUGAGUUUUCACUUUAUUUUUGUAUAUUGGUUUGAUUGUGUAUUUGUGUUUGGUGAAAUGAGCAACUUAAAUUAACAUAGGUUGUUUCAAAAUGAGUGGGGUUUCACUUGUCAAAUACGGAUUGAAUACAGUAGCUGUAUUUAUUGCUGCUAAUGUUAGUGUGCAUUUCGUUGGUGGAGCAAAAGAUCGAUUUCUGGGUUUUGAGCUACCUGUGUGUAUGUAUGUGUGAGUAUGGGUAUUCCCUUUGUGCAAUUUUGUGUUGUAGUAUAGAAUUCAUUAGUUUGAAUACGUACUGCUUUUCGUAUCUCUGUUUAUAUCAGGGCAAGCCUCAAGCCAAAGCUUUAUUAGUGUUCAAAUGUGCCGAGAUAGGGAGGUAGCGUCGGUUACAACCACUUUUGGAUUAAGCUUUAAUUGGAGAUUCUUUUUUCUUUUUUUUUGGGGGGGUUGGGGGGGGGGGGGGAAGAGGGGGUUGGUAUAAGGCCUGAAUAUAUUGUCUGUGUUGUUUCAUUGUGUAUAUAAAAUUGUCUAGUGUGAUACAUACUGGUAUCUGCAUAUAUUUACAGCAGAAACAACAAAUGGUCUACCAUUAAACAACAUACAGGUCUAAAUCUAAGGAGUAUAGCAUGGAGAUUGGAAAGUCUUUGCUUAAUUUGCUCUCGUAUGGGAAAUCAAUCAACACUGAACUGCAAAUUUUGUCUUUGUACAUUUGGUAAGGACCAAGCUUUUUCAAGAUUAAUGGUUCCAUUUUCAGAUUUUUCCUAUGCCAUGGUGGUUUACUGUGGAUAAUAAUGCUCUGAAGGGUUUAUAUGCGGAGGUUUUAAUGUUCUUUUACCAAAAUUUCAUUUUGUGACAAUGGCGUCGUGUAUUGUGUGAAUUAAAACUCAUGUCCUAAAUUUUCUUUCCUUUUUCCUUUUUUCCGUCUAGCCUUAUACCAGCAUCAGAAUUUUCUCCAGAUUCUGAAAUUCAUCCAAGAGGCCAUAUUUAUCAUGAGACUUAUGGAUGUCAGAUGAAUAUCAACAGGACAAAGCAGAACCAAAAGUGUGGCAGAGACGUAAUUACUUUUGUUCUCAAGGGACAAUGGAAGAGAAAUGAUGCUAUUGGAAGGUCACAGUCAGUUCCUUCUAAGGUGGUUGUUUUCGGAUGUCUGGCUUAAAGUUUAAAGGACUAGAUGGCAUAUAAGAUGGUUGAUGUGGUUUGUGGACCUGAUGCUUACAGAGAUUUACUGCAGUUAUUGGAAGAGGCAAACUAAUUCGAAAUGGGGACCGAUACUCUUCUUUCACUGGAAGAAACUUAUGCUGAUAUUAGUCCAGUUUGAAUUUGCAGGGAUUCAAUUAUUGCUUUUGUCCCAGUGAUGAGAAGUUGCACUAAUAUGUGCUUCUUUGCAUUGUUCCUUUUACUAGAGGGAAGAGAGCGGUCACAUCUAGUGGAUUCAAUAGUGAAGGAAGUGGCAGAACUAGGAAGGAAGGAGUGAAGGAAGUAACUCUUCUUGGUCAGAAUGUGAACAGCUACAACAAUGCAUCCAGGAUUGAAAAUAAUAUGAACCAGGAUCAAAUCGAAAUCAAGCGAAGGCUUUUCCAGCAUGUGCAAGGUAAAAAAGGUGGGAUUGCAUUUUUCAGAUCUCUUGGACCAGCUUUCCACUGAAUUUCCUGAGAUGUGGUUCAGAUACACAUUACCCCACCCUAAAAGACUUACCUGAUGACUUAUUGUAUAGCAUGCGAGACAGAUAUAAUAUCUGCAUUCAUUUACCUGCACGAACAGUGAGUAGCACAGUUCUUGAGAGAAUCACCUGGGAUAUACUAGAGAAGCGUACCUAGAUCCGGUGCAAAUGAUAAGGAAGAAUCAUGCCAAUUUGGGGAUUAUCAGUGAUUGCAUAUCUGGAGAAUUGCUGUAUGCUUAAAGGCUCAGCAAUGGAGGGUUUGUUGUGUAUGAAGAGGUGGGGAAGUGGAGUGGAGUGUAACUUUAAUAUGAUGGGAGGUGGACGUGUUAUCAAAAGAUUUCCUACGAUUAUUUUCUUCUCAUACAGGCUUUGUCAAUGUAGACACAUCGCCAAACCACGUAAAUCAAUCUUUUGGACUUCUCCACCUUUUGAAGUUACUAGAACAAGCAGUAACCUGAUUGACCUCUUUUGGAGCUCUCAGAGAAAUCUGCCUUACACUCAUCAAAUCUACCUUGAGAAUUGAUUCCUUUUUACUGCUUUCUCUGGAGAAAACGGCGUUCCAGUGUCAUCAGGGCUGUUGGUUACAUUAGGGCAUAUGUUUGCAUAUGGCAUGAGGAAAAGACCCCUGCCCGCAGGAACUAUGUUGAUGAUAUUGGAGAUUAUGGUGGAAGUUCUUAUAUUCAAAUCUACGUGAGCAUUACUUUCGGAGAGGCACUUGCUAUUACUAAAUUGAGCGUGUUUUGCAACAAUGUGGAACAAGAUGCUGUUGCUUGUGCAAGUUGAUGAAAACCUAGCUGCUUAUGAACAUAGCUUGCAAUUUUUCCAUUUUUCAAUUGAAGAAUUUUUGAAAAA